rnacentral:rRNA from 1 species
UACGUAGGGUGCGAGCGUUAAUCGGAAUUACUGGGCGUAAAGCGUGCGCAGGCGGUUUCACAAGCUCGAUGUGAAAGCCCCGGGCUUAACCCUGGGAAGUGGCAUUGAGGACUGUGGAGCUCGAGUGCGGCAGAGGGAGGUGGAAUUCCACGUGUAGCAGUGAAAUGCGUAGAGAUGUGGAGGAACACCGAUGGCGAAGGCAGCCCUCGUGGCAGCACUGACGCUCAUGCACGAAAGCGUGGGGAGCAAACAGG